CAUGUUUAGAAGACCAGCAGUGACCAUAGAAGAAAAAAGCACUAGUGGGUUAUUUGCAAAUUGAAAUGUAAAGGCAGCUACACCUUGCUUUUCCAGAGGACUGCCUUGAGAAAAAUUUUAUAAGACUCCCAGCCUGCAUUCUCAUCAGGAAUAAAAAGCAUACAACUGCAAUGCCAACAUUUGAGCUUUCCACACCUGCUGAAAGAUAUAAAAUAUUGUCUGCUCAUGUAGCCAAGUUUGUUGGCAGGCACAUGAAUGAAACAUCUUGCAUCAUGUUCCAUUAAAAAAUUGGGAAGUUCAAGCUGGCUGCAACUUCAUCUAUUUCUUUUUUCAAAUGUGCCCUGAACACUAUGUGCCUAGUCAUUCAUCUGCUCAGGAAAAAAUAAAACUAAAUGACAUCCCAGAAUAGCUCCAUAAAUUUAGGUAAUCCUGCCUCCAAAUAAGGCAUACCCAUGUCCCUGUGAGAAUGACCUUUUCUGCCAAGGGAAAAAAACUAAAGUGAGGCCAAGGAAUGACGUGGUGGAAGGGAAAAAUAUAAUGAGAAUUACCUAAGUAUGAAUCUGAGAGAAAGCACUUGAAAUUACAAG